UACAGAGGUCUCAAGCGUUGUUCGGAUUCAUUGGGCGUAAAGGGUGCGUAGGUGGCGCGCUAAGUCAGGUGUGAAAUUUCGGAGCUUAACUCCGAAACUGCAUUUGAUACUGGCGUGCUUGAGGACUGGAGAGGAGACUGGAAUUCAUGGUGUAGCAGUGAAAUGCGUAGAGAUCGGGAGGAACACCGGUGGCGAAGGCGGGUCUCUGGGCAAUUCCUGACGCUGAGGCGCGAAAGCGUGGGGAGCAAACGGG
rnacentral:rRNA from 1 species